CCGCGUAGCUCAGUUGGCAGAGCAUUGGGCUAGUAUUCCAAAGGUCGUAGGUUCAAAAUCUAAAAAAUCUAUGCGGA